AUUGAUUGUGUUAUUCAUAUAUAAGAUGAAAAAUAGUAUAUGUUACAAUACAAAUAAUAUGAUUUUCUCAAGAUUUAUUCAUUCAUGGAAAACCUCCAAAAUUAUCUGAAAAUUUGUAAGAAACUGAAGGCAUUCAUUAUGGCAUAUGAAAUAGUUUGUCAAGCUCACUUAAACAAACUUGUGAGCAGAACUAAUUAUAUCAGUACAAAUCCAAAACACAAAUAAGAAAGCCCAAAGGAGAUCAAAAAUGCUUCAACGUUUCUCAGCAAAAUCUGUCACCUAAAUGCUUAUG
rnacentral:lncRNA from 1 species